UACGUAGGGUGCAAGCGUUGUCCGGAAUUAUUGGGCGUAAAGAGCUCGUAGGCGGCCUGUCACGUCGGCUGUGAAAUCCCGAGGCUCAACCUCGGGUCUGCAGUCGAUACGGGCAAACUAGAGUAUUGCAGAGGAGAUUGGAAUUCCUGGUGUAGCGGUGAAAUGCGCAGAUAUCAGGAGGAACACCAACAGCGAAGGCAGAUCUCUGGGACGUUACUGACGCUGAGACGCGAAAGCGUGGGGAGCAAACAGG
rnacentral:rRNA from 1 species